rnacentral:rRNA from 1 species
AUGAGCACAUGCCUGAGUAGCGCGUUCCACACCAACGGACACCGCAUCGUCAUGAGCACAUACCCGAGGAGCGCAUCCGACACCAACGACUCUAAUCAAUUUGUCGGACUACCGGCCCUCAUCGACAAACUGACGCCGGAGGGUUCUCACCUGGUGCACAGGACGCCCGCAACAGCUAUGAAGUUUCCCGCUCGUCUCGGGAUUAUCUUGCUUAUGGAUAAUGGCUCAUCAUUGGCCAAUGUGAGCUCAGAUCCGGAACUCUGCAAGAGCAAGCAAAGCCAUUGCUAUACAUGCGAGUGCAGGGACGGCUUGUAUGGCAACCCCUAUGUCCCUGACGCAUCCAAAGGUACAAAAAUAAUUAUUGGGGUCACUAUUGGGGUGGUCCUCUUACUUUUGGCUCUCAUUGCAUACUUCACUUCCUACAAAUUUAAGCAUUGGAGCACACAAAGUUUGGAAUGGAAGUAUUUCAAGAAAAAUCGUGGGCAAUUGUUGCAACAGUUGGUACCUCAAAGGGGGUAUAUUGCAGAGAAAAUGAUCAUAACCUUGGAAGGUCUAGAGAAAGCAACAAACAAUUUCGAUAAAGCGCAUGAACUCGGUAGAGGCGGGCAUGCUAUCGUCUAUAAAGGGAUUUUGUCAGACCUCCAUAUUGUGGCCAUCAAGAAACCAACAAUGGUGGGCCAAAGGGAGAUUGAUGAGUUUAUUAAUGAGGUUGCUAUCCUAUCACAAAUCAACCACAGGAAUAUUGUAAAACUAUAUGGUUGUUGUCUUGAAACAGAAGUACCAUUGUUGGUCUAUGAGUUCAUAUCCAAUGGAACUCUUUAUGGUCAUCUCCAUGUUGAAGGACCAAGAUCAUUACCAUGGGAUGCUAGGCUACGUAUAGCAACUGAAAUAGAAAAAUCUCUAGCCUAUCUUCACUCAACAGUUAUAAUACCUAUCAUCCACGGAGAUGUCAAGCCUGCUAACAUACUUCUGGACGAUACACUAACAACAAAUAUAGGAGACUUUGGCGCUUCAAGGUAUAUUCCAUCGGACAAAGUAGGGUUAACAACAAUGGUCCAAGGUACAAUAGGAUAUCUGGACCCGAUGUACUUCCGCACGUGCCGCCUCACGGUGAAAGGUGAUGUUUAUAGCUUUGGUGUUAUGCGUAUAGAGUUGAUGACGAGAAAGAAGCCAUUCAACUAUAUGGAUUCUGAAGGCAAUGGCCUCGUGGCACAUUUUUCUACCUUAUUUGCAGAAGGCAGUCUGUUACAAGUAUUAGAUCCACAAGUUAUGGAUGAGGGGCAAUAA